GUCUGUUAAGUCUGAGGUGAAAGCCUUCGGCUUAACCGGAGUAGUGCAUUGGAAACUGGGAGACGUGAGUGCAGAAGAGGAGAGUGGAACUCCAUGUGUAGCGGUGAAAUGCGUGGAUAUAUGGAAGAACACCAGUGGCGAGAGCGGCUCUCUGGUCUGUAACUGACGCUGAGGUUCGAAAGCGUGGGUAGCAAUCAG
rnacentral:rRNA from 1 species